rnacentral:rRNA from 1 species
UACGUAGGGACCUAGCGUUGUCCGGAAUCAUUGGGCGUAAAGCGCGCGUAGGCGGCCCGGUAAGUCCGUUGUAAAAGUCGAAGGCUCAACCUUCGAAAGCCGGUGGAUACUGUCGGGCUCGAGUACGGAAGAGGCGAGUGGAAUUCCUGGUGUAGCGGUGAAAUGCGCAGAUAUCAGGAGGAACACCAAUUGCGAAGGCAGCUCGCUGGGACGUAACUGACGCUGAGACGCGAAAGCGUGGGGAGCAAACAGG